rnacentral:misc_RNA from 1 species
GCAAACUUGGUCAUUUAGAGGAAGUAAAAGUCGUAACAAGGUUUCCGUAGGUGAACCUGCGGAAGGAUCAUUAACACGUUCCAAAACGUAUCAACCAACCGGUUAAGUGCAAACUUACUCCCUAUGGUGGAAUAGCUGUUCAACUCUCUUUAGUGAUGGGCGAGUCUUCGGAUUCGCGAGGAGAGUUGGCUAGGGUCUCGAGCCCGGUGCUUUCUUCUGUAGGCUUUUCUCUUUUUCCCAUCACUUCCAACUAACCAAUUUCACCCUUGAAAUCUUAUUGACUAAAUCUUUCGAACGAAGAAAUUUGUUUGGAAUUGUAUAUCAACACUGUACAACUCUUAGCAAUGGAUAUCUUGGUUCUCGCAUCGAUGAAGAACGCAGC